GAUGAACGCUGGCGGCGCGCCUAACACAUGCAAGUCGAACGGUUAAAGCACCUUUUAGGUGUGUAUAAAGUGGCGAACGGCUGAGUAACACGUGGGCAACCUGCCCUCCUCUUGGGGAUAGCCUCGGGAAACCGAGGAUAAUACCCGAUACUUCAAUGUGGCCGCAUGACGACAUUGAGAAAGCUUUUGCGGAGAAGGAUGGGCCCGCGGCCUGUUAGCUUGUUGGUGGGGUAGUGGCCUACCAAGGCAAUGAUGGGUAGCUGGGUUGAGAGACCGACCAGCCAGAUUGGGACUGGGACACGGCCCAGACUCCUACGGGAGGCAGCAGGGGGGAAUCUUGCACAAUGGGCGAGAGCCUGAUGCAGCGACGCCGCGGGCGGGACGAAGGCCUUCGGGUUGGAAACCGCUUUCAGCAGGGACGAGGCGAUAAGUGACGGUACCUGCAGAAGAAGCCCCGGCUAACUACGUG
rnacentral:rRNA from 1 species